rnacentral:rRNA from 1 species
GACGUAGGGCGCGAGCGUUGUCCGGAUUUAUUGGGCGUAAAGAGCUCGUAGGCGGCUUGUCGCGUCGUCCGUGAAAACCCACAGCUCAACUGUGGGCUUGCGGUCGAUACGGGCAGGCUAGAGUUCGGUAGGGGAGACUGGAAUUCCUGGUGUAGCGGUGAAAUGCGCAGAUAUCAGGAGGAACACCGGUGGCGAAGGCGGGUCUCUGGGCAACAACUGACGCUGAGGAGCGAAAGCGUGGGGAGCGAACAGG